UCCCAGUAAAGAAUCAUCCAUGUGUCUUGCUUUCUUUUCAAGUCCUAGAGAUGAACUCACUGGAACUGACUAAGGCAAAAGACAAAACUUUGGUCCAGGAGGGAUUGUCUUAUAGAA
ensembl:snoRNA SNORD22 Small nucleolar RNA SNORD22